UACGUAGGGGGCUAGCGUUGUCCGGAUUUAUUGGGCGUAAAGAGCGUGUAGGCGGCCAGGUAGGUCUGCUGUGAAAACUCGAGGCUCAACCUCGAGACGCCGGUUGAAACCAUCUGGCUAGAGUCCGGAAGAGGAGAGUGGAAUUCCUGGUGUAGCGGUGAAAUGCGCAGAUAUCAGGAAGAACACCCGUGGCUAAGGCGGCUCUCUAGUACGGUACUGACGCUGAGACGCGAAAGCGUGGGGAGCGAACAGG
rnacentral:rRNA from 1 species